CCCUUAGAUGUCCUGGGCCGCACGCGCGCUACACUGAUGCAUUCAACGAGUAUUUCCUUGGCCGAGAGGCCUGGGCAAUCUUUUAAACCUGCAUCGUGAUGGGGAUAGAUUAUUGCAAUUAUUAAUCUUGAACGAGGAAUUCCUAGUAAACGCAAAUCAUCAAUUUGCAUUGAUUACGUCCCUGCCCUUUGUACACACCGCCCGUCGCACCUACCGAUUGAAUGGUCCGGUGAAAUCUCGGGAUUGUGGCCAGUUCACUUUAUUGGGAGUUGGCUGCGAGAACUUGCUUAAACCUUAUCAUUUAGAGGAAGGUGAAGUCGUAACA
rnacentral:rRNA from 1 species